AGAAGCUUCAGCUAUAUCUGAUAAGACGAUUCUCAGGACUGUUAUGCUUCAAGAAGAGGAACAAAUGAGGGUGUCCUGCAAAUCUCUCCAUGGUUGAAGUUGACCAUCUUCCAUCUUCCAGGUGAUGUAGAAGAGAGAGGAAUAUUAAUAACAAUGAUAAGGAUAUUGACUACACAGCUUCUUUUUUGAGGAACUCAACUUCAUCCAACUUGAUGUUUUAGUUAGUAAACACCACUCAGCAACUACCAGCAGG